CCCCCCCCGCUCAGGUACAGCCUGUUGCAGCUAGUUGUGAUACCUCUGGCCUGCUCUUCCCUCUGAUGUUAUAACCCCCCCCCGCUCAGGUACAGCCUGUUGCAGCUAGUUGUGAUACCUCUGGCCUGCUCUCCCCUCUGAUGUUAUAACCCCCUCAGUUCUACACCAUGAGGACCUUACAGGGAGAAAAGCAUUUCAACUGAUCAGUCGUUCAGUAUUGGAGGAAAAUGGUUGAAUUGGCUUUUGGAGGUUUUUGUGUAUAUUUUCUUUAUAUAAGUAAAUCACAUAGAAGAUUUUCCCUGUUUACAAGAGAAGCCUGUUUGAAGACUUGUUUCCCCAGAGGCCAAAUACUAUGUGUUGUUUCACAAGAUGGAGAUUGUAGGUGUUGGUUUGGCCGGCAGUGCCACAUAUCAUAUUUGAAAGGCAUGAAUUGUUUUUUUACAUGUGAUAAAAUGUAUGUACAAGCAUGUUUUUAGUUCACAUUCUAACUUCAGUUUUGUAAUUAUUUUCCAAUACUUAGAAUCAUGUUUUUUUAAAUCUUUUAUCAGACAAAAAAAAAACAUGACCAGACGAAGUGAGAUUCAACUUCACUGUUAUUGCACAGUACAUGUACUAGGAAAUAUAGUUCAGCAUCACCCAAAUAGUACAAAUAGAAGUGCAGCAGCCCUCAAAUAAAAAACAUUUAACUUGAGAAAAGAAUUUGUUCCAGUGUUGGUUGUGGACUUUUUGUCAAACAGGAGCAAAUGGAGAGGAACAUACCAGAUGUUUUUCUAAUAUAAAUCCUGUUUGACCAAAUGGACUCCCUCCCUUUUUCCUUCUUUUUGCUUUUUUUGGUGAAAUGUUUUGCAACAUAAUGGUUUGUUCUUCUGAACAAAUACACCACAGGUUUAUAUUUCAGUUCAACCAAACUCAAACUCCUUUGGCUAUGUGCUGUCACCUAACAAAGCCAUAAUGUUGUGCAUCUGAUCUUAUUUCAGGCUGUCAAUUUGAAUAUGAACACAAGUAUUUUAUAAAGGAUAUCUUAUUGUUAUUUACUUUUUAUAAUGCCAAUUGUUUAUGUAUAUUUGAUGUAGGCUGCAAAAAAAAGUAUAUUUUUUAUCAUGUUUGGUAUUUGUACUACACUUUAAAUGUUGCGUGUGUGUGUGUGUGUUUGGUGCAAAUGUGUGCAAGUGUGUGUCUAUUCAAUAUUUGAUUCAUGAUAAUGAAAAGUUUGACUGUAUAACAAUAUAUUUAAAAAUGUGAUAUUUUCUUUACCAAGAUGCAAUGUCAGAUGGUGGAGAGACCCUUCUACAUGACAUUAUUAUUGUAGUUAUAUUGGGAAUGAUGACCAACUGUAUUCUGGAGCAGUAGCCUACCACAUAAUAUAUGACAUUAUUAUUGUAGUUAUAUUGGGAAUGAUGACAACUGUAUUCUGGAGCAGUAGCCUACCACAUAAUAUAUGACAUUAUUAUUGUAGUUAUAUUGGAAAUGAUGACAACUGUGUUCUGGAGCAGUAGCCUACCACACAAUAUAUGACAUUAUUAUUUUAGUUAUGUUGGGAAUGAUGACUAACUGUGUUCUGGAGCAGUAGCCUACCACAUAAUAUAUGACAUUGUCUUCUUUUGCAUAGAAUGAUGUAAUUGCUAGAUAUAAAAUGCAAUAAUCAUUAUAUUUUUUGUAAUUUAUUGAUCUAAAAUAUUUAGGAUUAUACUGGAUAAUACUGGAUUACAUAUAACCUUAUAUUUAUACCCAGCUUAGUUUAUGGAACAGUCAGGUUUGGUUUCCUAAGGGUGGAUAGAAAUAAUGUAUUUUUUUUAAUAACAGUUUAAUUUUAGGGCUAAAUAUUUUAAAUAUUGGGUCUUUUAAAACUGCCUCUUUGUAAACUUUGAAUGAGGUUUCAGUGUUAGGCCAUAUUUCCAUUGUUUUAAAAAUGUGUGUUUUUGUUUUAUUUAUUUUUCUUUCUGUUAGAACAAAUGCUGGUGUUUGUAUUUAAG
ensembl:lncRNA